rnacentral:rRNA from 1 species
GGCGACUGAAGCGGGAAGAGCCCAUGUUGCCAAACCUUCGGGUGUUGUGCCAUGCGUGUCUUUUGUCUGGCCAGGAGUAAAUCCCUUGGAACAGGGUAUCAGAGAGGGUGACAAUCCCGUUCGCCUCUUGGCUUUGGCAAUUGUAGACCGUGUAACGGAGUCGAGUUGCUUGGGAUUGCAGCUCAAAGCGGGUGGUAAAUUCCAUCUAAGGCUAAAUACGGGUGGGAGACCGAUAGCGAACAAGUACUGUGAAGGAAAGAUGAAAAGAACUUUGAAAAGAGAGUUAAAGAGUGCCUGAAAUUGCUGAAAGGGAACCGUAGGUCAUCAGUGUUGGCUUCGUGCAU